rnacentral:rRNA from 1 species
GAUGAACGCUAGCGGCAGGCCUAACACAUGCAAGUCGAGGGGUAGCAGGAUUAAGCUUGCUUAAUUGCUGACGACCGGCGCACGGGUGCGUAACGCGUAUGCAACCUACCUUAUACUGGGGUAUAGCCCGGAGAAAUUCGGAUUAAUCCCCCAUAGUACUAAUGAAUCGCAUGGUUUAUUAGUUAAAGCAUUGCGGUAUAAGAUGGGCAUGCGUCCUAUUAGCUAGAUGGUGAGGUAACGGCCCACCAUGGCUACGAUAGGUAGGGGGCCUGAGAGGGUGGUCCCCCACACUGGUACUGAGACACGGACCAGACUCCUACGGGAGGCAGCAGUGAGGAAUAUUGGUCAAUGGGCGCAAGCCUGAACCAGCCAUGCCGCGUGCAGGAAGAAUGCCCUAUGGGUUGUAAACUGCUUUUAUUUGGGAAUAAACCUCUUUACGUGUAGAGAGCUGAAGGUACCAAAUGAGUAAGCACCGGCUAACUCCGUGCCAGCCGCCGCAGUAA